rnacentral:rRNA from 1 species
UACGUAGGGUGCAAGCGUUGUCCGGAAUUAUUGGGCGUAAAGAGCUCGUAGGCGGUCUGUCGCGUCGGAUGUGAAAACCCAGGGCUCAACCCUGGGCCUGCAUUCGAUACGGGCAGACUAGAGUUCGGUAGGGGAGACUGGAAUUCCCGGUGUAGCGGUGAAAUGCGCAGAUAUCAGGAGGAACACCGGUGGCGAAGGCGGGUCUCUGGGCCGAAACUGACGCUGAGGAGCGAAGGCGUGGGGAGCAAACAGG